UAGUGAAAUGAUGGCAAUCAUCUUUUGGUACUGAUCUGAAUUGAAGAGAACACUCAUUGCUAAUCAUUU
rnacentral:snoRNA from 1 species